AAUGAACGUUGGCGGCGUGGAUUAGGCAUGCAAGUCGUACGCACAGCUUCGGCUGUGAGUGGCGCAAGGGUGAGUAAUGCGAAGGUAACCAACCCUGGAGUUGGGCAUAACCGCGGGAAACUGCGGGUAAUUCCCAGCGAUGUCGCGAGAUGGCAUCAUCUUGCGACCAAAGGUGUGAUUCCGCUCUAGGACGGGCCUUCGUGGUAUUAGGUAGUUGGUGAGGUAACGGCUCACCAAGCCGACGAUGCCUACCGGGUGUGAGAGCAUGACCCGGCACACUGGAACUGAGACACUGUCCAGACACCUACGGGUGGCUGCAGUCGAGAAUCUUCGGCAAUGGGCGAAAGCCUGACCGAGCGACGCCGCGUGAGGGAAGAAGGCCUUCGGGUUGUAAACCUCUUUCGUAGAGGAGGAAGGGGCCGUGCAGAGCGGUCUUUGACCUAUUCUAGGAAGAAGCUUGGGCUAAGUUCGUG
rnacentral:rRNA from 1 species